rnacentral:tRNA from 1 species
GCGCGCGUAGUUCAGUGGUAGAACGCCGUCCUGAUAAGACGGAGGCCGAAAGUUCGAUCCUUUCCGCGCGCA